AAUCCAAUACUGUGGUUGACUAAUCAGUAAUAAGCAUGGAACUGCUGUCUACACUGAGCAUCAGGAGUUUGAGCUGUCAGACAAAUCUGCAGCUGCGCCGUUGCCAUGGAGACGAAAGGCGGGAAAAUCAGGCUCCCUCUGCUCUGUAAAAGCAGAGUUUCACCCUUGAUAAAUAGGCUUAUUCCAGCAAAACCAUAACAGUUAUUACAAAAAAAAUUCAUUUUAUGAAUUCCAAGGCUUCCCUGAACAUGUGGAGUUAAUUUUAUGUUUGAGGACGAAAGCUUGUAGCCACAGUCACAAUUUCAAAAUAUGUCUUCUCCUUGUCUCUGUGGCUGCUGCAGUCUGUGGGGGGCUCUGUGUGGGCGGCUUGGGUCAAAACACCUGCCCUCCUGAACUGAAGGUGUGUGGGCUCCCUGGCUGCUGGGAUUAUUUCCUCUGCUUGUUGGAUGGGCGUAGCGGCCGAGCUCCUCCAUCACCCUGGCUUUCACAAGUGGCAUUGUUCAUGCACCAACGUCUGCCUCAGCCUUUGGGUGAACAAUGUUAAGCUACAGCUUUACUAACCUUGUAGUGGGACACUCUACACCUGAGCUGAUAAACAGGCUUUCCAAACCCAACUGUAAGUAUUACUGGUACUAAUCACUACCAAUAUCAAUAAUGUGUGAAUAUGGAUGUCAUGGCUAUUAUUAAGUAGUAUUAGAUAUGUAUAACAAUGCAUAUGUGUAUGUAUAUGAUAUAUGUAUAAGAUAUAUGUAUAUGUUUGUAUGAGUAUGUGCACAUACCUUAACACUAUGUCAGGCUUAGGCAGAGAUCGGACCCACAUGCACAGUGCGAACACACAGAGUAGGUGGUAAAGUCAAGGUUUAGUACAAGUCAGUACCCUCGAUCUUGUCCUGACAUAUGGGGUUGAAAUUGAUCAUUUCAAAGUUCUUCCCCAAAACCCUCUGUUAUCUGACCAUUUCUUAUUAACUUUUCAAUUUACCAUAAUUGACCUUGCAGCAGCUGGAGAAGAAGGCUGAAGAAGGAGGCAGUGAAUCAGAGGAGGUUAGCUCCGUGGUAUAACUCAGAGAUCCGCAGCCUAAAGCACAGGACCAGAAAACUAGAAAGACAGUGGCAUUCCAACAAAAUAAUUGUAAAUUGCUUAGCAUAGAAGGACAGUUUAAUAAUAUAUAAAAAAGCAAUUUGUGCUGCUAGGAAAACUAUUAUUCAUCCUUAAUUGAGGAAAACAAAAACAACCCCAGGUUUCUUUUCAGCACUGUAGCCAGGCUGACAAAGAGUCAUAGCUGUGUUGAGUCUGCUAUCCCCUUAAAUCUCAGCAGCAAUGACUUCAUGAAGUACUUUGCUAAAAAGAAAUUAUCACUAUUAAAGACAUUCAUCAACAUCCAUCCUCCAAAUGACAGAAAUCACUAUCUAGAUCCAACAACUUUAAUAAAUUUACCAAGAGCGCUGUCUUACUUACAGAGCUUUUCCCCCAUAACUCAUAUGGAGUUAGCUUCAAUAAUUAACUCUUCCAAGUCGUCCACCUGUCUUUUAGACCCAAUCCCAACCAAAUUACUCAAAGAAGUUCUACCUUUAAUCAGCUCGUCCAUAAUAAGUCAAAUCAGCCAAUCUUUCUUAAUAGGCUAUGUACCACAGGCUUUUACAUUGGCUGUGGCUUUAUUAUUAUUAUUAUUAUUAUUAUUAUUAUUAUUAUUAUUAUUAUUAUUAUUAUUAUUAUUAUUAUUAUUUUAAAUUUACUCUUUAUGUCUAAGAUUCUUGAAAAAUUUGUGGCUAAACAAUUAUCUGACCACCUGAGUAGGAAUAACCUGUACGAAGAUUUUCAGUCAGGAUUUAGAAAACAUCAUAGCACAGAAACAGCUCUGGUUAGAUUCACUAAUGAUCUUCUCUUAGAUUCGAAUGGUCUGGUCUCUGUCCUUGUCCUGUUAGAUCUUAGUGCUGCUUUUGAUACAAUUGACCAUACUAUUCUAUUACUGAGACUAGAACAUAGAAUCGGAAAUUAAAGUAACAGCACUGGGAUGGUUUAAAUCCUAUUUGUUGAACAGAUUGCAGUUUGUUCAUGUUAACAACAACUUCUCCACAUGCACAAGUAUUAGCUUUGGAAUAGCACAGGGUUCUGUGUUUGGUCCAAUUAUGUUAAGUCUAUACAUGUCUCCUCUAGGUAAGAAUAUUAGGAAGCAUUCUGUAAAUUUUCAUUGUUAUACAGAUGAUACUCAGCUAUAUAUGUCUUUGGAACCAAAUAAAACAGAUCAACGAGUCAAAAUUCAAAGUUGUUUAAAAGACAUCAAAUCCUCCUACUUCCACCUUAGAAAUAUAGUUAAAAUCAGAAGCAUCCUCUCUCAGAGCGAUGCAGAGAAACUGAUUCAUGCAUUUGUUACCUCUAGGCUGGACUACUGUAACUGUUUACUCAUAGGAUGUCCUAACAGCUCCUUAAAAAGCCUACAGCUAAUUCAAAAUGCUGCAGCCAGAGUUCUGAUGGGACUUAGAAAGAGAGAUCACACCCUGGUCCAAUCAUCCUGCCUGCGUCCAGUCCCUGGUCCAACCAUCCUGCCUGUGCUCUGUUGUUGCUUCUUGUUGUUGCUGUGUUUUUCUGUUUCUCUAUCCCCUCACCCCAACCAGUCAAGGCAGUUGGCCGCCCACAUUCACCCUGGCUCUUGUAAAUGUCCCUGGCCAGCGUGGGGGAAAUACACCUUGUGUGCUGCAAUUAAUGUCCAAGGGGUCCUGCGUCACCAUGCCCCACUAGGUCCCAUGCACUACGUGCAGCUGUGCAGGCUGCAUAAUUCCCAUAAAAAAAUGACAGAAGACAAGACAGACUGAAAAUGUUUGGUCCCAACAUCACCUUACAUACCUGUUGCUCAUGGGUGGGAUUCAGCUCCCCAGACCAACCUGUGACACAGUAAGUGUUGUUAGGUGCUAUAUUAUUCCAUACCCUUGUCUUCUUAACUCUCAGCAGUGAUGAUCUUCUUAAAUCUCGAAAGUGAUGAUUUUAUGGACUUUAAGAACAACAGACUCCUCCUGCUCUUGCAAGCAAUGGACGUGGCAUGCGGAGACACUAAGGUGGGGUCAAUCCAAGGAUGGAUUCGGCACACAAGGCAAUAUUUUCCCAGAUGCCUAGCCCACAAGGACAUCACCUGUGAUGUGGAUGAGGCCAUGUGGCCUGAUCCACAAAGAACACAGGAUCUUUUAAACAACACAACUUGCAAUCAAAUAAAUUAACACAUCCAAUUAGGUAUAACACAGUGGACAGCAAAAUACAGAACACUGAUUUCACUGAAAAAAAUCAAAUUGUUGCAACAAAACCUUACACACAAGCUCUAUUUGAAUCAUCCUUUCACAUCACCAGCAACACACUGAUGAACUUUAUAUAAAACACUCCAGUCUUGUGUUUCCAUUUAUAAUUCUAAUUUGCUCAGAAUUCUGUAAAACUCAGACGUGACAUUUCUGCAGCAAUCAAACAAUAGUUUUCAAACACAGGGUCACACCAGGUCAGAUGCAGAAGAAACAGUGUGUGUGUGGUGUCCUCCUCUCUCUUUGACUCUCAUUACCUCCAUGUAUGCAUAGGCCUCUGUCUGACCUGGGGCCUAUUUGUAGCACUGAGGAUCAGAUUGUUUGGUGCUGUUUUUUGUGCAGGUGUUUUCAGGUGUGUGUGUGAGUGACUACAUUUGCCAGAUGAAGAUUGCUUUUUUUCUCAAUAAAAACGGGUCUAAUGUAUAACAAUGUGUGUAGUGUUUUGCAAUAAGUGUGUUAACAGAAUUGAGACAAAGAAGUAUUGAGGCUUUGGUCUAAGCAUUCGUUUUUAAUGUAAGCAAUAGGAAAAAACUGUAUCAGGGAGGACACCACUGAAAGGAAGUGGAUGAUGUGUGUGAAGGUCUCCAGCGCUUCGUCAGCUGCACACACAAGGAGGAGGAAGAAGAUUCCUUUGUCUCUUAUGGAUGUGUGUUUGUCUGGUUUCUUUUCUCUUUUUCUUGUUCUCUUGCUCUUGCAAUGUGCAGUUUCUCUGCUGUGGGACUAAUAAAGGCUUUCUCAUU